AGUGAACGCUGGCGGCAUGCCUAACACAUGCAAGUCGAACGACAGCACAGUAAGAGCUUGCUCUUACGGGUGGCGAGUGGCGGACGGGUGACGCAUGCAUCGGAUACUUCUUUUACGUGGGGGAUAACGUCGGGAAACUUCUGCUAACACCGCAUAUGUCGUACGGGUUAAAGCAGGGGUUCUUCAGACUCUUCGCGAUUGUAAGAGCCGAGGUCGGAUUAGCUAGUUGGCGGGGUAAAGGCCCACCAAGGCCACGCUCCGUAGCUGGUCUGAGAGGAUGAUCAGCCACACUGGAACUGAGACACGGUCCAGACUCCUACGGGAGGCAGCAGUGGGGAAUAUUCGGCAAUGGGCGAAAGCCUGAUCCAGCAAUACCGCGUGAGUGAUGAAGGCCUUCGGGUUGUAAAGCCCUGUUGUUGGGAAAGAAAAGCAGCAGGUUAAUACCCGGCUAUUCUGACGGUACCCAAAGAAUAAGCACCGGCUAACUUCGUG
rnacentral:rRNA from 1 species